rnacentral:rRNA from 1 species
AUUGAACGCUGGCGGCAUGCUUUACACAUGCAAGUCGAACGGUAACAGGCCUUCGGGUGCUGACGAGUGGCGAACGGGUGAGUAAUGCAUCGGAACGUACCCAGAGGUGGGGAAUAACGCAGCGAAAGCUGUGCUAAUACCGCAUGUGAUCUGAGGAUGAAAGCGGGGGACCGAGCAGCAAUGUUUGGCCUCGCGCCUUUGGAGCGGCCGAUGUCGGAUUAGCUAGUUGGUGGGGUAAAGGCCUACCAAGGCGACGAUCCGUAGCUGGUCUGAGAGGACGACCAGCCACACUGGGACUGAGACACGGCCCAGACUCCUACGGGAGGCAGCAGUGGGGAAUUUUGGACAAUGGGCGCAAGCCUGAUCCAGCAAUGCCGCGUGCGGGAAGAAGGCCUUCGGGUUGUAAACCGCUUUUGGCAGGAACGAAACGGUGUCCGCUAAUACCGGGCGCUAAUGACGGUACCUGCAGAAUAAGCACCGGCUAACUACGUG